rnacentral:rRNA from 1 species
GCAUAUCAAUAAGCGGAGGAAAAGAAACCAACAGGGAUUGCCCUAGUAACGGCGAGUGAAGCGGCAACAGCUCAAAUUUGAAAUCUGGCGUCUUUGGCGUCCGAGUUGUAAUUUGCAGAGGGCGCUUUGGCAUUGGCAGCGGUCCAAGUUCCUUGGAACAGGACGUCACAGAGGGUGAGAAUCCCGUACGUGGUCGCUAGCCUUUACCGUGUAAAGCCCCUUCGACGAGUCGAGUUGUUUGGGAAUGCAGCUCUAAAUGGGAGGUAAAUUUCUUCUAAAGCUAAAUACUGGCCAGAGACCGAUAGCGCACAAGUAGAGUGAUCGAAAGAUGAAAAGCACUUUGGAAAGAGAGUUAAAAAGCACGUGAAAUUGUUGAAAGGGAAGCGCUUGCAGCCAGACUUGCCUGUAGUUGCUCAUCCGGGUUUUUACCCGGUGCACUCUUCUAUAGGCAGGCCAGCAUCAGUUUGGGCGGUUGGAUAAAGGUCUCUGUCACGUACCUCCUCUCGGGGAGAACUUAUAGGGGAGACGUAAUG